UACAGAGGUCUCAAGCGUUGUUCGGAUUCAUUGGGCGUAAAGGGUGCGUAGGCGGCGCGGUAAGUCGGGUGUGAAAUCUCAGAGCUCAACUCUGAAACUGCACUCGAUACUGCUUUGCUUGAGGACUGGAGAGGAGAUUGGAAUUCACGGUGUAGCAGUGAAAUGCGUAGAUAUCGUGAGGAAGACCAGUGGCGAAGGCGGGUCUCUGGGCCGAUACUGACGCUGAGGAGCGAAAGCGUGGGGAGCGAACAGG
rnacentral:rRNA from 1 species